rnacentral:rRNA from 1 species
UAGGGAAUCUUCCGCAAUGGGCGAAAGCCUGACGGAGCAACGCCGCGUGAGUGAUGAAGGUCUUCGGAUCGUAAAACUCUGUUAUUAGGGAAGAACAAAUGUGUAAGUAACUAUGCACGUCUUGACGGUACAUAAUCAGAAAGCCACGGCUAACUACGUGCCAGCAGCCGCGGUAAUACGUAGGUGGCAAGCGUUAUCCGGAAUUAUUGGGCGUAAAGCGCGCGUAGGCGGUUUUUUAAGUCUGAUGUGAAAGCCCACGGCUCAACCGUGGAGGGUCAUUGGAAACUGGAAAACUUGAGUGCAGAAGAGGAAAGUGGAAUUCCAUGUGUAGCAGUGAAAUGCGCAGAGAUAUGGAGGAACACCAGUGGCGAAGGCGACUUUCUGGUCUGUAACUGACGCUGAUGUGCGAAAGCGUGGGGAUCAAACAGG